rnacentral:lncRNA from 1 species
CUCUUAACUUGCCACCACCUUUGUGUUUUCAGUUAAUGAACUGCAUCUUUCUUCCCCUCUCAUUGCAUGCGUUCUUUUAAAUACCACUCUAAGUAAUUUAAUUCUUGAACUGGCUUUGCAGUACUGAGCUCUUGAUUUCAUUUAAGGGGACAGAUGACAAAACAUUAGCUAUGGCUCUACUAAGCUUUACGAUUUUCUCUCUUCUGAGAUACAGCUCCUGAAGUAUUGUAGAUGAAACCUUCAAAGUAAAACCAAAUGACGACAGUUGUAAUAAAGAUAAAAAAGGGAGGGAAUAAUGCUUAAAUGGCAAUAUUUUAAUCACAAAGUAUUAACAUUUAUUAUUUCUAUUUUCAGGAGAAUGAGAUAGUUGCCAGAGGUAAACCAGAAAAGUAUUGGGUGAUUUUACCUCAUAUAACAAAAGCAAGAGACAGACCAAAAUCAGAGUCAUCCCAAUGCAGAGGACUUUGAGGCACUGCCAGGCAGGCUGUUCCUACAGGGAAUAU